rnacentral:rRNA from 1 species
CGAAUGGAUUGAGAGCUUGCUCUCAAGAAGUUAGCGGCGGACGGGUGAGUAACACGUGGGUAACCUGCCCAUAAGACUGGGAUAACUCCGGGAAACCGGGGCUAAUACCGGAUAACAUUUUGAACUGCAUGGUUCGAAAUUGAAAGGCGGCUUCGGCUGUCACUUAUUGAUGGACCCGCGUCCCAUUAACUAGUUGGUGAAGUUACGGCUCCCAAUGCAACCAUUCGUUACCCAACUUAAAAGGGGGAUCGGCCAAUCUGGGAUUGGACACGGCCCAGACUCCUACGGGAGGCAGCAGUAGGGAAUCUUCCGCAAUGGACGAAAGUCUGACGGAGCAACGCCGCGUGAGUGAUGAAGGCUUUCGGGUCGUAAAACUCUGUUGUUAGGGAAGAACAAGUGCUAGUUGAAUAAGCUGGCACCUUGACGGUACCUAACCAGAAAGCCACGGCUAACUACGUGCCAGCAGCCGCGGGUAAU